rnacentral:rRNA from 1 species
GACGAACGCUGGCGGCGUGCUUAACACAUGCAAGUCGAACGGAAAGGCCCUGCUUUUGUGGGGUGCUCGAGUGGCGAACGGGUGAGUAACACGUGAGUAACCUGCCCUUGACUUUGGGAUAACUUCAGGAAACUGGGGCUAAUACCGGAUAGGAGCUCCUGCUGCAUGGUGGGGGUUGGAAAGUUUCGGCGGUUGGGGAUGGACUCGCGGCUUAUCAGCUUGUUGGUGGGGUAGUGGCUUACCAAGGCUUUGACGGGUAGCCGGCCUGAGAGGGUGACCGGCCACAUUGGGACUGAGAUACGGCGCAGACUCCUACGGGACGCAGCAGUGGGGAAUAUUGCACAAUGGGCGGAAGCCUGAUGCAGCCACGCCGCGUGCGGGAUGACGGCCUUCGGGUUGUAAACCGCUUUCGCCUGUGACGAAGCGUGAGUGACGGUAAUGGGUAAAGAAGCAACGGCUAACUACGUG